CGGUGCUUGCUGUCGGUAUCAUGGCGGAACAAAGCUAGAGUGGAACAAAACGCUGCACCACCCUCACAGUGGCCAGGACAAAACGUCCAUUCCACUUCAGCAAGCAGCCCUAUGCCGUCCUUACCAUGAGGCAGGUGACGGAGGGCAGCGCCGCAGCUGUUGUUUCUUCUGAGACACUGCAUUCUCCUCUGUUGGAUAGCAGAGAAACUGCAGCAGGAGGGUGUCGAUCAUAGAUGCACAUCCCUUUGGAAACCCACCCACCCACAAGUCCUGGAAUAGUCAAGUUGGUGAUGAGCAGGAAACCAAUUUUCAUGAGCUGAUGAGCCUUGAUGCAAGCCCCACUAAAUCCAAGCAAUCAACCUCACCACCAACCAGUGCUCUACCUGAAGAGGCAAUGAUUUUCCAUGAUAAAACUGGCCUCGGUGUUGCUUCUACGCAGAUGGAAAGGACGACUGCAUUCUAGGUGCCGAAAGUCACAAACAAUCUACGGAAGCCUUGUGGGGGUCAGAGCAGCCUUCUGCAACAUGAAGGCUAGUGUACUGCCCAUGGGAUUUCGUGCCAAAGGCAUGGACGUUUUGCCCGUAGAGGAGAUGGCAAGAGCCCUCAUCAUCAGAGGCCUGAACUGCAGCUGUUUCUGUACAGGAAAAGUGCUCUAGAGAUGAAUCGCAGCCAUUAAGCCGUGAUGAGGGCGAGCCAAGGAGCUAUUUUCCGUGCACGUCAUGCCAUACAUAUUUUCUUUUUCACUUAGGUGGCUAGCUUUUCUUUUUUCUUUUUCUUUUGCAAUUUGAGAUAAUGGGUGCCUAGGAAUUGAUGACAGGAGAGAGGUCAGGCUGGAGGAAGGGAUCUUUUGUGUGCGUGUGCGCGUGCGAGAGAGGCUCAGUUUGAGCUCGCAGAUGAGGGAUGUUAUGUACAGGACGACAAGCUGGGUCAUGGGACAAUAUCCCGCUAUCUAUAUAUCUCUAUAUAUCUAUACCUAUAUCUAUCUAUAUCUAUAUCUAUACCCUCACACAGGGCAUAUAUUCAUAUAAGUGCUCAAUGUGCUUACUAGCGGAGUUUGCUAUUGAUGGCAUCACAGGGUAAGAGCUUGUUUUCCUAUGCAGCACACAGCCUAGGGGUGGGGAACACAAGCUGCGUGUCGCAGGAGCUCCCUCCGUUUCAAUCAGUCAAGAGGUGAGCUUGUCAAGCAUGUAAUUAAUUACCACCCGGCGGUGACUCAUCCGAUGCUGUGGACCAGAGAGACCAACUCUCUCGGGCAACUUGGGAUUUAGCCUUCACGCUGCAAGAACCGCAGCUGUGGCAGGGAAAUGUGUUUGGCUGUAACAAGCGGAGGCUGGUGAUUAGGGCGAGUGGGUCCCUGCUACGCCAACCUCAGCCUGCCCUCAGCCACCCGCUACUUGCCUGCCCUUUUGCUUACUUGCCAGGCCAUGGGUGGUGGUGGUCCUGGUUACUACCCUCCUCUUCCUUAUUCUUGGUGUUGCUGCUUGCAGAACUCAGGAUGGGGGCAAAAUCUGCACGAGCUGCCUCUGCCUGUCUGGCUCUGGCUUCACCCUCUCUCCUUGUCUCCAUGUUGUAGUGAUCCUCCUCUUCCUCUUUGCCGCUAAGAGGCCGUCGGCAACAUUUGCUGCCACCUCUACUUUUCAUCUAGCUGGCUAUGAAACAAACUUGCGACUAAGAACUUGUGCCUGAGUGUGCUUCUCUUCCUCCUCUCUGUCAAUCCGCUGCCUGGCCUCGAUAAUGGACUGGAUGAGAGCUAACAAACUGAGACUCAAUCCAGACAAGACUGAGAUACUGUUGGUGAGGGGUUUCUCUGAUCAGAUGGUGGAUAUAUACCCUGUCCUGGAUGGGGUUACACUCCCCCUAAAUGAGCGGGUUCGUAGUCUGGGAGUUCUUUUAGAUCCUUCCCUGUCACUGGAGGCUCAAGUAGCCUCGGUGGCAUGGAAUGCGUUCUACCAUCUUCGGUUGGUAGCCCAGCUACGUCCCUAUCUGAGCAGGGAGGACCUCACAUCAGUGGUACAUGCUCUGGUAACCUCGCGACUGGACUACUGCAAUGCGCUCUAUGUAGGGCUGCCUUUGAAGACAGUUCAGAAGCUUCAGCUAGUGCAAAAUGCGGCUGCCAGACUGAUAACAAGAACUAAGCGGUCCAAACACAUAACACCUGUUCUGGCCCGCUUGCACUGGCUUCCAAUUUGCUUCUGGGCCAAAUUCAAAGUGCUGGUUUUGACCUAUAAAGCCUUAUACGGCGUGGGACCACAAUACUUGUUGGAACGCCUCUCCCAAUACGAACCUGCCCAUACACUGCGUUCUUCAUUGAAGGCCCUCCUCCGAGCUCCGACCCACAGGGAGGCUCGGAGGGUGGUUACAAGAACUAGGGCCUUCUCUGUGGUGGCCCCCGAGCUGUGGAACAGUCUCCCCGAUGAGGUACACCUGGCGCUGACGCUGUUGUCCUUUCGGCGCCAGGUUAAAACCUUCCUCUUUUCCAGGGCUUUUAAUCUAACUUAAUUCUGUUUUAAAUUGUACUGUAAUUGUUUUUAGAUCUCCCAUUCUCUGUAUU